rnacentral:rRNA from 1 species
CGGACGGGCGAGUAACACGUGGAUAACCUACCUAUAAGACUGGGAUAACUUCGGGAAACCGGAGCUAAUACCGGAUAAUAUAUUGAACCGCAUGGUUCAAUAGUGAAAGACGGUUUUGCUGUCACUUAUAGAUGGAUCCGCGUCGCAUUAGCUAGUUGGUAAGGUAACGGCUUACCAAGGCAACGAUGCGUAGCCGACCUGAGAGGGUGAUCGGCCGCACUGGAACUGAGACACGGUCCAG